CUCACACAAUGAUGCCUCUUGUCUUGGGUUUCUGGCUCGGUGACCACACCUGGGACAGACUUGGUCUGUCAUGAUAUGCUGAUACUUUUCACCCGACUGACCUGACUGAUUUCUGAAGUGUUGACCUGCACCAGCACUCGUUGCAUCAAGCACUUAGUUGCUGUAUUUUAAGGCUUUGUAAACCUGAAGCAUCAACUGCCUCCACCAACUCUCCCCAUUCUGUUGUGUUCUUGCCAAAGUCUGCUAUCGUCUGUCCUUCAGUCUUCGGGUUGGCUGUUCGUCUCGGCCCCGCCGGUGGACUGCACGGGUGAGCACACAUGGGAGAAGAGGAACAGGCUGAGUGGGUUUUUAUGGAGUCUGGCUGUCCUUGUGUCUGACGCUGGAGCUACAGUGUCACUGCACACAUCUUCAGCCAUCAUUAGCAAUCUGCACCAGCAUGAGGAGAUGUCGUCUAGUGGAGACCUGCAGUGAAGUCCAGGCAGAGGAGACCAACAAGGGGACAAAGCAGAGAAGGAGGCAGUGCAGGUUCCCUGUGGGGACAACC
rnacentral:lncRNA from 1 species